UACGAAGGGGGCUAGCGUUGUUCGGAAUUACUGGGCGUAAAGCGCGUGUAGGCGGGGCUUUAAGUCAGGGGUGAAAUGCCAAGGCUCAACCUUGGAACUGCCUUUGAUACUGGAGAUCUUGAGUCCGGGAGAGGUGAGUGGAAUUGCGAGUGUAGAGGUGAAAUUCGUAGAUAUUCGCAAGAACACCAGUGGCGAAGGCGGCUCACUGGCCCGGAACUGACGCUGAGACGCGAAAGCGUGGGGAGCAAACAGG
rnacentral:rRNA from 1 species